rnacentral:rRNA from 1 species
CAUUAGCGAAAGAAACUCGACCUUGCUGCUGCUGGCCCUUUGGGGCAUGUGCACGCUUGGCCGUUUCCUUCAAACCCACCCGUGCACCUAAUGUAGACUUGGGACCUCAAAGGGACCUUUACCGCGUCGCUUUGGCUCUGAGGGCUUUGCCGUCUAGGCUGUCCUUGUGUCUUCACAGUCUACGUCUUUAAAAACCCGCAUGUGUUCAGAAUGUUGGCAUAAAUUGAAAUGUAAUACAACUUUCAACAACGGAUCUCUUGGCUCUCGCAUCGAUGAAGAACGCAGCGAAAUGCGAUAAGUAAUGUGAAUUGCAGAAUUCAGUGAAUCAUCGAAUCUUUGAACGCACCUUGCGCUCCUUGGUAUUCCGAGGAGCAUGCCUGUUUGAGUGUCAUGAAAUUCUCAACCUUUCUUUGCUUGUGAAGCAAGGAUGGGCUUGGUUUGUGGAGCGUGCUGGCCCUUUGAGAGGUCAGCUCCUCUGAAUUUUGCAUUGGUGGAGAACGUCACCGUUCAGCCUUGGUGUGAUAAGUCCUUAUUUAUGCGCCGGGGCGAUGAUGGCUCUGCCCUUGUCGGGAUGGGAUUUGAAUUGAACUCUGACCUCAAAUCAGGUAGGACUACCCGCUGAACUUAAGCAUAUCAAUAA